UACCCUCGCGCAUGGCGCUCGGGCAUGCAUCGAGUCUACUCAGUUUAUUAUUAUUAUUGUCAUAAUAAUAAACUGAGUAGACUCGAUGCAUGCUCGAGCGCCAUACGCGAGGGU
rnacentral:miRNA from 1 species